GCCCGCCUAGCUCAAUCGGAUAGAGCGUCAGACUCUUAUCGCCGAUGUAGAGAUGCGUGGUGAUCUGAAGGCUGCGAGUUCGACCCUCGCGGUGGGCU
rnacentral:tRNA from 1 species